rnacentral:lncRNA from 1 species
CCCAGUGCCUCCCAGUUCAUCCCAGUAUGGCCCAGUGCCUUCCCAGUUCAUCCCAGUCCUUCCCAGUUCAUCCCAGUUCAUCCCAGUAUGGCCCAGUGCCUUCCCAGUUCAGCCCCGGGGCUGGACCAGUAAGAACUGAUAAGAACCAGUUUGGUGCUGAUGGUUCCCAGUUUGUCUCAGUGCCUUCCCAGUUCAUCCCAGUGACUCCCAGUUCAAUCCCAGUUUGUCCCAGUUCAUCCCAGUGA